rnacentral:rRNA from 1 species
GGACUACCCGGGUAUCUAAUCCUGUUUGAUCCCCACGCUUUCGUGCAUCAGCGUCAAUUCAUCCGUAGUCAGCUGCCUUCGCAAUCGGUGUUCUAUGUCAUAUCUAAGCAUUUCACCGCUACAUGACAUAUUCCGCUAACCUCCAGAAAAUUCAAGACCUAUAGUAUCAAUGGCAGUUUCAAAGUUAAGCUUUGAGAUUUCACCACUGACUUACAGACCCGCCUACGCACCCUUUAAACCCAGUGAAUCCGGAUAACGCUUGCACCCUCCGUAUUACCGCGGCUGCUGGCAC